rnacentral:rRNA from 1 species
GACGAACGCUGGCGGCGUGCUUAACACAUGCAAGUCGAACGGAAAGGCCCUGCUUUUGUGGGGUGCUCGAGUGGCGAACGGGCGAGUAACACGUGAGUAACCUGCCCUUGACUUUGGGAUAACUUCAGGAAACUGGGGCUAAUACCGGAUAGGAGCUCCUGCUGCAUGGUGGGGGUUGGAAAGUUUCGGCGGUUGGGGAUGGACUCGCGGCUUAUCAGCUUGUUGGUGGGGUAGUGGCUUACCAAGGCUUUGACGGGUAGCCGGCCUGAGAGGGUGACCGGCCACAAUGGGACUGGAGAUACGCCCAAACUCCUUCGGGAGGCAGCAGUGGGGAAUAUUGCACAAUGGGCGGAAGCCUGAUGCAGCAACGCCGCGUGCGGGAUGACGGCCUUCGGGUUGUAAACCGCUUUCGCCUGUGACGAAGCGUGAGUGACGGUAAUGGGUAAAGAAGCACCGGCUAACUACGUG